AUCUGGCCCCAGUCCCAGGUCGGCCAACACAUGUUGGAGCCUACUUUCUAUUGGGCCCAGUGGAUCCGUUCUAAUGGGACCACAUCACUGCUGGACAUUAUCACAGAGGUCCCACGCUUAGUGGACUCUCCAGGCAUGAUUGCAACCAACAUGGCCGAGUACCUGAUGAGAUCCACCACAGAGCCCCAUACGUUCUAAUACUGUCUUUGUGAAUGGGGGGGGGGGCGUUGGAGCAGCCGUCUCUUUGGCUGCUGUGGACGUCGGUCUCACUCCCGUUUUUUGUGUUCUAUGUUGGUUUGCCAAAACUUUGUGCUAAUGUUUGGGAGUUAAUCCAGACCACCGUGUUUCAGAGACCAGGACCUGAAUCAAACGCUGUCAAAUUAAUGCUCAGAUUGCUACUAUGUAGUUUUUUAAUUUCUAUGUAGGCUAUGGCACAUGGUCGAGUUAAAGGGCCCAGAUUCUGCACUGAAGAUAUUCAGGAACCAGAUCUCACUCAGACACCAUGGAUGGUUUUAUCGUGUGUGUGCGUAAGCACCAGAGACACAAAAUAACCCCCAAAUCCCAGAAAAAGAGAUUGUUUUUUGGGCACUUUAAGAUUUAAAAGUUGGUUUGAAAGUUAAAUGCAUGAAGUUUAAGAAGUUGUGACUUUUUGUCCGUUUAGUGAUGUAAUAAUUGACACAGCAUAUGUUUUAAAUCAAAAAUGUAAAAUUACUUUUGUAUUCUUUUAUACUACUUUUAAUGUUAACUGAAAUUAAUUGUAAUGUUUAAUUUUGUCUGAAGUGAUAUAUUUGGCUUAAAGCAAUAAAACAAAAUGCUGGGAUUUU